UUUGUUUAGUCUAAAUGUAUUAUGAAAUCUAUUGAAUAUAAUUUUGUUUAAAUUGUAAUUAAUUCACUGGAUAUAAUGUGAGGUGAAAUUAUAAAAUUAACGUUGUCUAUAUACAUUACAUACAUAUUCCAUAAUCAAUAAUAAGAAAUAAAAGCGGUGCUCUUAUCACAAAACGCAAUAUGAUAGGCCUUGACAAAUAUUUUGCGAAAAAUAUAAUUAGAAAUAAUUAAAUAUUACACUUAGAACGUAAUUUAUACAUUUUUAAAAGUCCAUAAUAUCUCAUUGAAUUUUACUACCUAAAGUAUGGCCAUUUUUUCCGACGUUUAUAUAUAGCAUCAUGUUUGGUUUGUUAGGUUCUUGGUUAAAGAUGUUUAAAACACACUUAUUUUUAUUUAAUCCAUCUCCUAUAAUGAUGUUUAGUUCCCACCUUUGCCAUAGAAAUAAGCAUUUUCUUCAUUCUUGUUUACAUUUUGUCUAAAAUGCUAAAAUUGUUUAGUGAUCUCAUUACUUUUCCAUUUAUUUUGUCUAAUUUAUAAACGCCAUACUCUAUAUAUCGAAUAUCUUCCUCACAACAUAGAAUUUUCGUGUAACUCAAAUGACACUAACAUAUCCUAAAUAUUUCAAAUGUAUUGGCAUGAAAUUUCAAUAACAUUACUUAUUAUUAUUUUAAUAAUGAGAAAUCAGCACAAAUUGUUUUAAACAAGAUUUAAAUCAAACUCUUUAUUUUUAUUUCAUGGCAGAACAAAACAUUCCGGUACACAUAAACAUGCAUUUUUAUGUUAUGAUUACUACUUAUAUGUAAUUAUUUUGCAGUGGCUCGCUAAUACUCAAGAAAUAUUUGUAUUAUUUAUAAAGAAAGGAGUAAAGAGUAUACUUAAUCUGGUCACGAAUUAUGGGUGUUUUUAAAACAUGCGAAAAGAAUUGUUUAGAUGAUUAAGGCCCGAUCCGUAUUACAGUGCUGAUCUCAGUUCGUUCUUAGUCCGAUUUCGACCCGGUAAAAUAUUGUUUAACGAGAAGCUAUGAAUUGUAGUAGUAGAAUGCUUCCUAAUCCUAACAGUCAAGUUCCGAUCAAAUCAAAGUCCAGCAACGAUCCGUCUAUUGUGUCUUGUUUACUGGAUCCAGAUCGAACCGAGAACGAACAGAGAAUCAGCACUGUAAUGUGGAUCAGGCGUAAGUUUUAUUGAAAUGAGAACAAUUUUUUUUGUUAUUAAGGUCAACAUUAUGCCAAAUUGUUACAUUAUUAUUUGUCAUUACAUAAUAAUGCGUGGAUGUUAAUGGUUGGGAUAGAGUAAUCAUGUCAUGAACUUAGUGAGACCGUUAGCUGUAGCAAGUGAUUGUGAGAAAUUCUAUGACCAGGAUACUUUACGUAAUUAUUAUUAUUAUUAUUGUCAUAAUAAAACAAUUUUUAAACCUUUUUAUGCAAUACCAGUUUUAUUUAUUUAAAGUGAUUAGGCGGAAUGUUUAUAAUAUUCAAUUGUAGUUUUGUUGCAGUGAUAUUAUGAAUGUUAUAAGAAUAAAUGGAUAUUUUAAUAAAAGUCAUUUAAAUA